GGAGAGGUACCGAAGUGGCCAUAACGGGCUCGAUUCGAAAUCGAGUAGAGGAUGAUGAGUCCUCACGUGGGUUCGAAUCCCACCCUCUCCG
rnacentral:tRNA from 1 species